rnacentral:rRNA from 1 species
CAAUGGCACUGCCCGGUAGCUAAAUGCGGAAGAGAUAAGUGCUGAAAGCAUCUAAGCACGAAACUUGCCCCGAGAUGAGUUCUCCCUGAGACUUUAGGUCUCCUGAAGGAACGUUGAAGACGACGACGUUGAUAGGCCGGGUGUGUAAGCGCAGCGAUGCGUUGAGCUAACCGGUACUAAUGAACCGUGAGGCUUAACCUU